rnacentral:piRNA from 1 species
UAGAAACUGUCACCAUGCAGGGCGGUCUC